UACAGAGGAGCCAAGCGUUGUCCGGAUUGACUGGGCGUAAAGCGCACGUAGGCGGAUUUGCAAGUCAGGGGUGAAAUCCCGGGGCUCAACCUCGGAACUGCCUUUGAUACUGCGGAUCUUGAGUCCGGAAGAGGUGAGUGGAAUUCCUAGUGUAGAGGUGAAAUUCGUAGAUAUUAGGAAGAACACCAGUGGCGAAGGCGGCUCACUGGUCCGGUACUGACGCUGAGGUGCGAAAGCGUGGGGAGCAAACAGG
rnacentral:rRNA from 1 species